rnacentral:tRNA from 1 species
UCCCUGGUGAUCCAGUGGUUAAGAUCGUGCACUUCCAAUGCUGGGGGCACAGGUUCGACCCCUGGUUGGGGAA